UGAAGACUGAAGUGGAGAAGGGUUCCACGUGAACAGCAGUUGAGUGUGGGUCAGUCGGCCCUAAGAAACUGGCUAGUGGCAUGUGUUAUCGAGAGACGGAGUUUCAAAUCCAUCUCGUCUAUCGAAAGGGAAACGGGUUAAUAUUCCCGUACCUGGACACGGAGAUAAGCGCUCAUUGCGAGCGUUUAGCGCGGCAACGCAAACGAACUCGGUAACGCUGAAUAGAGCCCGAGCUAGAGUUCUCUUUUCUAGUUAAGGAACGAAUUCCCUGGAAUCGGUUCAGCCGGCGAUAGGGAUGUUGUUUCCGUAAAGCGCCACGGUUCCUGUGGUGUCUCGUGCGCUCUAUUCGGCCCUUGAAAAACCGAGGGAGGCUAUUUGAAUUUCGUGCCAGGCCGUACCGAUAUCCGCAGCAGGUCUCCAAGGUGAACAGCCUCUAGUCGAUAGAAUAAUGUAGGUAAGGGAAGUCGGCAAAUUAGAUCCUUAACUUCGGGAAAAGGAUUGGCUCUAAGGACUGGGUCGGUCGGGCCGCAGUGUGAAGUGAGCUCGGUUUGAUCCAUGCAGUGCAACGCUCGGCAACGGGUGGCGCUCGGCUAGCGUUCGAACUGUCUCGUGGAGCGCUGCAGCUGCGUGCCGCGUCCUCGCGGGCGUUGGUGCUUCGGCCGGCGCUAAACAGUCGACUUAGAACUGGCACGGACUCGGGGAAUCCGACUGUCUAAUUAAAACAGAGGAGACAGAUGGCCCUUGCGGGCGUUGACUGUCUCUGAUUUCUGCCCAGUGCUCUGAAUGUAAAAGUGAAGAAAUUCAACCAAGCGCGGGUAAACGGCGGGAGUAACUAUGACUCUCUUAAGGUAGCCAAAUGCCUCGUCAUCUAAUUAGUGACGCGCAUGAGGGGACCGGCGAGUUUACUCACUUCUGGCUCGCCACCGGUAAGGGGAACUCGCCCACCCCCUU
rnacentral:ncRNA from 1 species